rnacentral:misc_RNA from 1 species
GAAAUGCGAUAAGUAAUGUGAAUUGCAGAAUUCAGUGAAUCAUCGAAUCUUUGAACGCACAUUGCGCCCGCCAGUAUUCUGGCGGGCAUGCCUGUUCGAGCGUCAUUUCAACCAUCAAGCCCCCGGGCUUGUGUUGGGGACCUGCGGCUGCCGCAGGCCCCGAAAACCAGUGGCGGGCUCGCUGUCACACCGGGCGUAGUAGAUUUUUCGUCUCGCCCAGGGCGUGCUGCGGGUUCCGGCCGUUAAAAAGCCUCUCUUUUAACCCAAGGUUGACCUCGGAUCAGGUAUAAAGACCCGCUGAACUUAGGC